GGAUGUGAGGGCGAUCUGGCUGCGACAUCUGUCACCCCAUUGAUCGCCAGGGUUGAUUCGGCUGAUCUGGCUGGCUAGGCGGGUGUCCCCCUCCUCCCUCACCGAUCCAUGUGCGUCCCUCCCGAAGCUGCACGCUCGGUCGAAGAGGACGACCUUCCCCCCCGAGGAGAGGACCGGUCUUCGGUCAAGGGUAUACGAGUAGCUGCGCUCCCCUGCUAGGACCUCCAAACAAGCUCUGAAGAAAAGACAAAUAGGCAAUGUAGAGGAUAAUAAUUGUAUUUUAAUUUAUCUUUAUUGUUGGAAGUAUUACAGAU
rnacentral:snRNA from 1 species